AAAACCAAUACAUACCUCGCUUCACUAAGAAUCUCUAAAAGCAAAGAAUCACGAAAAACCCCAAUUGACGGAUUCAUUGUCAAGGUGUGCAGCUGCACUCAGUUUGGUGGCACUAUACUAAAGAAUGACUGAGGGUCACCGAAAAUGAAUUCCGGUUAAACGUAAAUUCAAAAUGCCAUCAUUUUAUAAUGACCACACACACGUAC